GUCGGAGCCCGCAAGGGUGACGACGUACCUUUUGUAUAAUGGGGUCUGCGACUUAGUCUGGCGAGCAAGCUUAAGGCGAUAGCUGUAGGCGAAGCGAAAGCGAGUCUGAACAGGGCGUUCAGUUCGUCGGACUAGACCCGAAACCAGUCGAUCUAUCCAUGGCCAGGUUGAAAGCAGGGUAACACCUGCUGGAGGACCGAACCGGUGCCUGUUGAAAAAGUCUCGGAUGAGCUGUGGAUAGGGGUGAAAGGCCAAUCAAGGCUGGAAAUAGCUGGUUCUCCGCGAAAUCUAUUUAGGUAGAGCCUCGAGUGAAUACCCCAGGGGGUAGAGCACUGGAUGGGCUAGGGGCCCCCACAGGGUUACCAAACCUAACCAAACUCCGAAUACCUGGGAGUACUGCUCGGGAGACACACGGCGGGUGCUAACGUCCGUCGUGAAAAGGGAAAAAACCCUAGACCGACAGCUAAGGUCCUCAAGUCACGGCUAAGUGUGAAAGGAUGUGGAAAUCCCAUAACAACCAGGAGGUUGGCUUAGAAGCAGCCAUCC
rnacentral:rRNA from 1 species